GUCUACUGAAAGAGGAGGCCCUGGUCAACCUGAUCCAGUGGGUGGCAACCGGUGCACGGCAGCGGUUGGAAUUAGAUGAUCUUGGAGCUCCCUUCCAACCCAGCCCAUUCUAUGAUUCAAUUGUACAGAGCAGGAAGGGCUGUGGCUGCGCUCGCUGCGGGGAGUGCGACACGGAACUGCGUCCUGGGGCAGGCAGUGCUGAAGUCACACCCAGUGCUGCCGGAGCUGACGCAGACGUGCACCCAGAAGAGCUGCAGGGUGCUGCUGACCGACAGGCCGUGCUCCUUUGACUCUCCGGUGGCUGCAGCACACACGGUGCGUGUCCAGGUAAAGGGGAGCAGCACCCAUGGGGUGAGAUCCAGCUCGAGCAGCUCUGGUGGGAGGCCUCCAACUUUGCACACCCAGCCCCAGAGCUGCCGGAAACUGAGCGCUGGGAAGGAGCUGCAGCAUAACCACGUCCACCCGGCGUGUCCAGGAACAACGGGGGCUCAGCGAUGCGUCUGCUCCUGGUUGGGAAGACCGGGGGGGGACGAAGUGCCACAGGGAACUCCAUUCUGGGGCGAUGUGCCUUCGAGUCCAAGCUGGCCACCAAACCAGUGACCCUGAGCUGCCAGAAGGCAGACGGGCUCUGGAAUGGCCAAGACAUCACAGUGAUCGAUACGGCCAACAUCUUCUAUCUGUGGGAUGACAAUGCUCCGGUGCACAAAGAAAUCUUGCACUGCGUCAGGCUGUCCUUCCCGGGCCCCCACGCUCUGCUGUUGGUCACCCAACUGGGCCGCUUCACCCAGGAGGACCAGGAGGCCGUGAAGGGCGUGCAGGACGUCUUCGGAUCCAGCGUGCUCAGAUACACGAUCGUGGUGUUCACCCGUGGAGAAGAGCUGGUGUCAGGGACCCUGGAUGACUACGUGACCUACACUGACAACAGAGCUCUGCGUGAUGUGAUCCAGAGCUGCGGGUACAGGUACUGCAGCAUCAACAACCGGGCCACCAGCGCCGAGCGGGACCAGCAGGUCCAGCAGCUGAUGGAGAAGGUCGUCCAAAUGGUGCAGGAGAACGAGGGCAAGUACUACAGCAACGAGAUGUACCUGGAUCCCGGCUUAACGGAAGAGAAGGUGAUGUAUCACGUGAAGAUGUACAGAGAAGAUAGGAAAAGCAGAGAGCUGCCCUGGUGGAGGAAAUACUCGAAGUGCCUCAUGGUUGUUGGGGGGGGUGUCAUUCUCACGGCUGUGGUUCUCUCAUUUUGCCUUACCCGAUGGAAGCCGUGAAUCCCACAGUCCCCACAUGGCACAAUCACAGAGCGCUUGGGGCUGCAGGUAUCUCUGGAGAUCACCAGCUUCACCCCUGCCCGUUGGGGUCCCCCACCACCCACUGCCCACGGCUGUGUCCCUUUGUGUGUUGAACAUCUCCAGGGAUAGAGAUGUUGCUGCCUGGGGGAGAGUUAUUUUCUUCAUUGAGGCUCACGCAUUGCUGUACUCUGGAUUUGUGAUGGGACGCAUGGUGAUAGCAACCCAAUGUUCUGGUCACCAUCAAGCAGUGCUCACACAGAGCUCAGGGCUCUCCCAUCCUCAUGCUGCCCUGCUGGCAUGGGCUGGGGGUGCACAGGGAGCUGCUGGGGCACAGCCAGGACAGCUGCCCCGGACUGGCCAAGGGGAUGUCCCAUGCCAUACAGUGUCGUGUUCGGUGAUAAAACUGGGGAACAAAGACAGGAGGGGGGACAUUGAGACUUCACAACAAAACGAGACACAUGAUGAGCCUGUCUUUCCUGGGGGUGGUUGAGGAAGUGUCUGCUAACGGGAAUUACUUCCUGCAUUCCUUGUUUUGCUGUGCUUGUGCGUGCGGCUUUUGCUUUACCCAUUAAACAGCCUUUAUC
rnacentral:lncRNA from 1 species